rnacentral:rRNA from 1 species
CAGUAGCCACGGGAAUACGAAGGGUGCAAGCGUUAAUCGGAAUUACUGGGCGUAAAGCGUGCGUAGGCGGUUUGUUAAGUCUGCUGUGAAAUCCCCGGGCUCAACCUGGGAAUGGCAAUGGAUACUGGCAAGCUAGAGUGUGUCAGAGGAUGGUGGAAUUCCCGGCGUAGCGGUGAAAUGCGUAGAGAUCGGGAGGAACAUCAGUGGCGAAGGCGGCCAUCUGGGACAACACUGACGCUGAGGCACGAAAGCGUGGGGAGCAAACAGGAUUAGAGACCCGCGUAGUCCCUGUCUCUUAUAC